CGGGUCUGAGAGCCAAGAUAGAAGGCAGAGGGCAACAAGACAGAAGGACAAUAGAGACCUUUCAUGCAAUCUUUAGCAUUAACAACAACAACAACAAAGUAGCAGCUAAAAUGGGUCUAAAAAACGGGUUCUGACUUCUCCUCAUUGAGAUGGUUGCAAAGAAAGAGGGAGGGUCUUCCUAAUGGCAGAUUAUCCCAUGUGGUCAGAGCUUGCCCAUGUCCAGCCUAUGCAAGAGCCAAAUAUAGACAGAGGACGACCGUUUCCAAGGCAACUGGCAUUGCAGUGUCAGAAGCAGGAGAAGCUGAUUUGUAUGCAGAUGGAGGAAGAGGGAGAAUAUUAACUGUUCCUUAUCUGGAUGAAGUGUGCGAAGUGAAAUGUGUCUCCUGGAACAAAAACGAGAAAAUGGAGGGCUCUCAGUGCCCCUACAAGCACAUAGCUUAUGCCAUGAAACUCUCCUGGGAAGAAGGACCAGCUCAAAUGUCACAUCCCCUCCGAUUCUUUCUGUGACCGCCUGGCCAGAAAUGAUUCCUCCCCGUCCUGGGUACUCUUACAGCAGCACUUAAUUUGCAUCAUUCAUAUGGCAUGCACUGCUUAGAACCUUGUAAAGAACUUCUACUCUUUAUGGAUUUGUCUUAUCUCUCCUACCAGUCUAUACACUCCUGGAGGGCAGAGGUUGUAUGUCAUACAAUCAUACGCUUAUAGCACAGGGCACAGUGUUUAAUAUAUAUUUGUUGAAUCAAUUUUUUAAAUACUCAAAAACAUUUCUAAAAAACUUAAAAAUCUCUAUGAAUACGCUUCAGUUAAUCUGAAUUCUCUUACCUCCUAGAGAAUUCUCCAACUAUAUAUCAAUGCCAGCCCUAAAAGCUGAAGCGGGAGAUUUUGAUGCCUUUCCAGAAAGACAGAGGAAGACCUAAAUAACAUAAUCUAUGUGUCAUACAUGAUUACAAACAGAACACUCUAAUCCCUGACUUUAGUAAAGACAUGCAUGGCAUGGCUCUUCACAAAUCCGACUUAAGUUAUAAUUAAAUAAUAUGUUCAAAGCUGGGUGCGGUGGCUCACGCCUGUAAAUCCAGCACUUUGGGAAGCUGAGGCAGGUAGAUCAAAAUGUAAGGAGUUCAAGACCAGCCUGGGCAACAUGGUAAAACCCCUCUAUACUAAAAAUACAAAAAUUAUCCAGGCAUGGUGUUGUGCAUCUGUAGUCCCAGCUACUUGGGAGGCUGAGGCAGAAGAACUGCUUGAACUCAGAAGGCAGAGGUUACAGUGAGCCGAGAUCACACCACUGCACUCCAGCCUGGGCAACAGAGCGAGACUCUGUCUCAGGAAAAAAAAAAAAACAGAGUAUGUUCAAGAAGAUUAGAGAUGGUUAAAAAAUAAAAGUGACGAACCAUAACCCUAAAAUAAAUUAAUUAAUUAAAUAUAAGUGACCAUGUUGAUCAAAAAGAGCUUUAAACGCACUUGAUAAUCAGAACAAUGUUGUCUCUAGGUGUUGGAAUUAUGCAUGAUUUUUUUUCCUCUUUAUGCUUCUCUGUAUAAAAGUUGUAUGAAAUCUUUUCAGAAAGCACACAUACUUCAAAAAGUAUCAAAAAUAUUUUAUUUAUCAAAGAUAACCAAGGAAAUAUUUUUGAAACUGGCCGGGCAUGGUGGCACAGGCCUAUAAUCUCAACAGGAAAAAACAAAUCUACUUUGUGAGGCUGAGGCAAGUGGAUCACUUGAGGUCAGGAUUACGCCAGUAAUUCCCAGCUACUCAGGAGGCUGAAGUAAAAGAACCACUUGAACCUGGGAGGCAAAGGUUGCAGUGAGCUGAGAUCCCGCCACUGUACUCCAGCCUGGGUGACAGAGCAAGACUCCAUCUCAAAAAAAUAAAAGAAAAAAAAAUGAACUGUCUCAAAUUCAACAAGCUUAUCAUUAAUCUUCAAAAAAAUAUUUUUAUGUCCUAUUACUUCUUUAAUAAGCAAAAAAGCUUAUUAUACCAGAUAUAUUUUUCAAUAGCAUUUGUGCAUAACUGCUUUAAUAAAAUGAGCAUACAGAUUUUAAAUUUUAAACAUCUUAGAUUUACAUAUGAAAUACUCAUGUUUAAACUGAAGAGACUUCCAUCUUUAUUUUUUUUCUACUUACAAAAAUAAUACAGGCUCUUUGUCAAAAAUUUAAACAUUACAGAAAUAUAUAAUGUAGGUAGUCAAGGUCCAUCAUAAUCUACUAUCUCUCCCUGAGAUAAUCAGUAUUAACAAGUUUGGUAUUUAUAGCCUCACUUUUUAAUAUGCAUAUACUAACAUCUAGAUGUUUUAACAAAAAUAUAAUCAUUAACAUAAAAACUGUUGUACAAUUAUUAACAUAAAAUUGACAUAAAAAACUUUUACAAUUUGCUUUUUUCCCCCACUUAAGAUAUCUUGUGUACUCUUACACAUCAGUACAUAUAGAUUAAUCUCAUUCUUUCCAGCAGGUACAAGGUAUUUCAUUUUAUGGAUGUCCACCAAUCCCCUACUUAUAGGUACCUGGAUUACUUCAAAAUUUCUCUCCUAUCAAAAACACCAAAAAAUUCAGUUAUAUACACCUUUGUGCAGUAUGAGUGUUUACACAGAUUAAGAUACUAGAAUUAUAACUGCUGAAUAAAAAAAUAUGAAUAUGCAAAAUUUUCUAAUGGAUACUACCAAAUUGUCCUCUAAGAGAGUUAAUGUAUGCUUUCACUAUAUCUUCACAUUUUCAUGUAUCUUUUUUUUUUUUUUAAGAAAAAAAAUUUAAAUAGACUAUUUCACUCUGGUCACAAUAUUAUAAACUUAAAUAAUGGGUUAUAAAAUUAAUACAUUUUCACCCGGCCUGUAGGCUAAUUCAUUUCUCAUAUUAUUUGUCAAUAUAAAUUAGGCCCAAAAGAAAAAAAUUAUUUCUAUAUCAAGAGGAGCUUUUGCUGUUAAAAAGGAUGUUCAUCACACUGGCAGUUUCUAAACAGAUAAAGAAAAAAUUAGGACUCUCCUCUACUCCUGGAGUUCACUGAUAGACAUUUUAAAAAAAUCACCACCCAAAAUCAUAGCCAUAGUCCUGAAAUAAAUUACACGGUAGUUAGUAUAAAAAAGAACUCCUGCUAAGCCUUCCUUUUGGGCAGUAAAGUAGUGUUGAUACAAGUUAGAAUAUUGGCAAGAAAAAGGUACUGAAGAUAGUUCACAAUAAAAAGUCGUGCAGAAAGUCUGAUUUAAAAUGUUGGAACAGAAGAGGUUGAGCCUACAAAAAAGGACCUCUCACAAAUGGAAACUUGAAGGACUAAAAUCUUGCCAACAAAUUAGAAGAAAAUUCCUUGGUACUCUAGAUAUCUCAGACACAGAUACUAUCAGCAACCCCUUAUAGCUGUAAAGUUAUUUAGAACUUAAAAUUUGCUUUCAAAUUCAUUAAAUCUCACAACGGCCCUGGGAGGGAGUCUUUAGCUCACAGGUGACCUAGAACUCCUAGCCUCAAGCAAUCCUCCCACCUCAGGCCUCCUAAGUAACUGGGACUACAGAUACACCCAGUUAAUUUUUUUUUUUUAACAGAUGGGGUUUUGCCAUGUUGCCUAGGCUGGUCUCAAACUCCGGGACUCAAGUGAUCUGCCCACCAUGGCCUCCCAAAGACCAGCUAAUUUUUUAAAAAAGUUUUUAGAGAUAGGAUCUUGCUGUGUUGCCCAGGCCAGUCUUGAACUCCUGGUCUCAAGUGAUCCUCCUGCCUUGGCCUCCAGAGUAGCUGGGGUUAAGGUCCAAGCCACCGCAUCCAGCUCAUGUUAACUCCUGAGAAGCUGUGUUCACUAGCCAGUUCUAGGUUUGUUACGAGGCAGUAUCUCAGUGAUAGCUGCUGUAGGGGCCUCACAAGAGAACCCAAAGCAGCCCGCAGAAAGAAGAGCAUCACAAGUGGAAAGGAUAUGUUGAGAAAAGUCAGCAGCAGGUUAUUAUGUCAUAUGAAAACAACCAUGGUAUACAAAUAUGCUGUGCCCUCUCAAACAGAAGCCAACCAUUAAAUGUCGGGGUAAUGGAGGCAGGCCUGUACAUUACAAGAUUACUCCUGACAAGCAGCUUCUUGCUUUUCUCCAAAGCAGUAGCAUGGAGAAGCAAGAAUCAGAGUUUCUGAGCAUGCUCGCAGCUACUCGCCUACAACUGCAAACUGCCUAUGGGCUCCCCUCCAUCCAAUCCAUCUGCCUUGGGGCUCCCUCUGCUCAGGACAAACUGAGGCCAUACAGGAAAGCAGAGGCCUUUAGAUCUCAUGCUUUUGUACCUAUAAUGUUAUCACAGUGCCUAUUUGAGAGAAUAAAUAAAAGAACAGAAAUUUGAGAUUAGGCAAGACGAGGCACUUGCUCAAAGAACUUUGCAACCUGGAGCCAGCAUAGCCGCAUGGAGUCAGGCGGGCAAGCUACCUCAUUUCUGCUCACGUUCAUAUGAACUCAUCAACAACUGUCAUCAUCCAGGUUAGCCUGGACAUGGGACAUUUUUAAGUCCAUUUUCUCCCAAUAGAAAGAGGUAUUUCCUCCCAGCUAUUCUUCACAGCUUCAAAAGCAAAAUCAGUGGUAUGCUAACAGAGAUAACAAAGAGGUGGAAUUCAGAGGAAAAGAGAGAGAGCUGAAGGAGCACUGAAACUAGUCAAGAGCAGGAGCUACAAAGUCAACCAGCCAACCAAGAGCACAACAGUUUGAAGCCCUGUGAUACCCACAUACAAAAACAACCGAGGCAUCCAUCGGUCUCCCCUUCACUCCCCAAGCAACCCCAAGAGAGAAGCGGCAACUGCUUGUGGCUUAUGGUCAUCUGGAACUAUGCAGCUGCACCCUGCCAACUUGACAUUCACAUACCCGCAGAACCACAGAUUGCACAAUUUCUAACAAGAAUGAGAAGCAGGAACAACAGUUCAGGAAAUCUGGAGUUGGAGGUGGGAAGAGGAGUAAGGAUGUAGACGGACAAGGGUUACUGAGUGAUGGAUCUAAAACAAUAGUCUGAGAAAUUCAUUAAAUUGACUUUUAUAAGGAAUGUUGGGGAGAAAGGAUUGUUUUUAAGGAACUGUCCGUUUUUUUCUCUCUCUCUCUUUGGGAACUGUCCCUUUUUCUAAGCUGAGUGCAGGAUGUGCCUCUUGGCUAUGGCAAUACUAGGCACACUUCUGCAAUCAGUGCCAUACUGUGCUCAUGAAGGCUCCCUGGGAGAAAUGCAGAAUAAAGAUGAAGUGUGGGUACUGGAGUUCAGAAAGCCUCUAUCUGAAAUCUAGCUUAGUCACUCACUGGCUGUGUAACUACCAGCUACUCACCUGACCUCUCUUAUCAUUAGUUUUCUUAACUACAAAGUGGGGUGGGAACAGUAUUUAUGUUAGUGUUCUAUAAAACUUGAAUAACACAGUCUAUGUAAAAUGCUCAGCACAGUGCCUAACACAUCCUCACUCACCCUGAUGACACCCAUAGCAUCACAUCCCUCAGAAACUGCCAACACCUUACCAUUGUUCUAUUUUUUCACUUGGGUGAGGGCUACCUGGGGGAAUCAAUUAUCAUUAUUUGUAAUACAGUAUUACAUUUGUAUACACUCUUAUGCCUGCUAUAUUUCAUAAUUUUUUCAAGUCUUGUUUGUUUUUGCUUUUGCUUUUCUUGAGACAGAGUCUUGCUCCAUCGCCAGGUGCCAGGUUGGAGUGCAGUGGCACGAGCUCGGUUCAGUACAACCUCGGCCUCCCAGGUUCAAGCAAUGCUCCUGCCUCAGCCUCCCAAGUAGCUGGGAGUACAGGCGUGCACCACCAUGCCCAACUAAUUUUUUUAUUUUUUUAAGUAGAGACAGGUUUCACCAUGUUGGCCAGGAUGGUCUCGAUCUCCUGACCUCAUGAUCCGCCCGCCUCGGCCUCCCAAAGUGCUGGGAUUACAGGCGUGAGCCACCGCACUCAGCCUAAGUCUUGUUUUUUUUUAAGAGACAGCACCUGUAACAGCAUCAGCCAAACUUACGAAGCAAUCACCGGAAGAUCCACUAAAGAAAGACAGGUCUCAAAGGCUGAUGAGAACUGUAAUGAAUAAGGAGCAAAGCUCAAAUCCUGAACCACCAAAGAAACUCUCUUCUCAGGGUUUCUCCAAAAGAACACUGGCUAAAAUGGAAAAAAAUCAUCCAUAUGGUUUCACAAAGGGUUUGUUCCAAGAUCUUCAAGUAAAUUAAAACCUCAAUUAUAAACAGAAGUGCAGGGAGUUUUGUAUUUGUUUUUAACACAGGGUCUCACUUUGUUGCCCAGGCUGGAAUACAGUGGUGCCAUCAUCACAGCCUCAAACUCCAGGGCUUGAGCAAUCAACCCGCCUCAGUCUCCUAAGGUGUGCACCACUGUGCCUGGGAUAGCAGGCAAAGAAAAAUGCCGGUUUUUUUUUUUUUUGUGGAGACGGAGUCUUGCUCUGUUACCCAGGCUGGAGUGCACCACCACACCCAGCUAAUUUUUGUAUUUUUAAUAGAGACAGGAUUUCACUAUGUUGGUCAGGCUGGUCUCAAAUUCCUGAUCCGCCCACCUCAGCCUCAGCCUCCCAAAGUGCAGGGAUUACAGAUGUGAGCCACCAUGCCUGGUGGAAAAUAUCUUUAGCUUCAUUUCAGUUUUAAGGGGAGAGAUAAGGCACACAAAUUUGAAAAUCCCAGCAAGAA